rnacentral:rRNA from 1 species
UACGGGGGGAGCAAGCGUUGUUCGGAUUUACUGGGCGUAAAGGGCGCGUAGGCGGUCAGCACAAGUCAGUUGUGAAAUCUCCGGGCUUAACCCGGAAAGGUCAACUGAUACUGUGCGACUAGAGUGCGGAAGGGGCAACUGGAAUUCUCGGUGUAGCGGUGAAAUGCGUAGAUAUCGAGAGGAACACCUGCGGCGAAGGCGGGUUACUGGGCCGACACUGACGCUGAUGCGCGAAAGCCAGGGGAGCGAACGGG